rnacentral:rRNA from 1 species
UACGAAGGGGGCUAGCGUUGUUCGGAAUUACUGGGCGUAAAGCGCGCGCAGGCGGCCUUUCAAGUCGGUGGUGAAAUCCCAAAGCUCAACUUUGGAAUUGCCAUCGAAACUGUAAGGCUUGGGUACGGGAGAGGUGAGUGGAAUUCCGAGUGUAGAGGUGAAAUUCGUAGAUAUUCGGAAGAACACCAGUGGCGAAGGCGGCUUACUGGUCCGGUUCUGACGCUGAGGCGCGAAAGCGUGGGGAGCAAAACAGG